GGGACAGGGAAUGGUCUCGUGGUGACUGUAGCUUGGGAAUAAGGGUCGGCUAAUUACGUGCCAGCAGCCGCGGUAACACGUAAGACCCUAGCGUUAUUCGGAAUUAUUGGGCGUAAAGGGCACGCAGGCGGUUUGGUAAGUCAGGAGUGAAAUACCGGAGCUUAACUCCGGUGCUGCUUUUGAUACUGCUGAACUUGAAUCAGUGAGGGGUGACCGGAAUUCCUAGUGUAGGGGUGAAAUCUGUAGAUAUUAGGAAGAACACCGGUGGCGAAGGCAGGUCACCAGCACAUGAUUGACGCUCAGGUGCGAAGGUGCGGGGAGCAAACAGGAUUAGAUACCCUGGUAGUCCGCACAGUAAACGAUGCACACUUGGUGUCCGCUCUUAAGAGUGGGUGCCGUAGCUAACGCUUUAAGUGUGCCGCCUGGGAAGUAUGCCCGCAAGGGUGAAACUCAAAGGAAUUGACGG
rnacentral:rRNA from 1 species